rnacentral:tRNA from 1 species
GGACCAGUUGACCACUUGGUUGAUCAUCAGAUUUUCAUUCGGGAUCAGAUGCUCAGUCUGGUCGCGGGUGAUUACCGAGAUUGCGCGAAUGCCGAUCUUGCGGAUUUGUCCGAUAGCCUCGUUGCCCGCUUGGUCCG